UGACUCUUAAGAAUGUGACACGGGAAGAUGAAAGCUUCUACAGGUGUGCGUCCCACGACAGACAGCUGCAGAGUCCAGAGAGCUGGUUAUCAGUGAGACCGGACAGAGGAAACUUCACAUCAGAGGAGACUCCAGCCUCCACUGGUUCCUGGAAAUGGAUCAUUGCUUCAUGUGGGGUUCUACUUCUGAUCGUCAUUCCUUUGACUGUUUGGCUCGUUUGUCACUACAGGU